rnacentral:lncRNA from 1 species
AUGCACGGAUAUGCCUACAUUCUUACUCAUCCAGGGAUCCCAUCGAUUGUAAGUUCUUGGAAUUUAAUUUACUCUUUUUCUCAAGCUAGAAAACUGCCAUGUUUCUGUUAUAAAUUAGGUGAAGACUCAGCAUGAACUUGCUUUCCAAUACAUAUAAAUAUGAAAUAAUGUGAUAUUGUUGCCAGAUUAAGCAUUUUCUCACCGCAUAGUAUUUGAGGUCUUUCUGUUUCCCUAGCGAACCUAUUUAGACUUGAUGGUUAUGGCCCAUACUUCAACUUUGUUUAUCUGAUUAUUUUUGUCACAGUUUUAUGACCACUUCUUUUGACUGGGGUCUGAAAGAGGAGUUCACUAACUCACUGCAAUCAGAUCCAGGAACGGGAUCUAAUUUGCCUCACCGACAGUGCCUUGCGCAUUCAAUCAGCUGAUGCAGACUUCUAUGUAGCUUCCAUCGAUGAGAAAAUCAUAGUCAAGAUUGGUCCAAGGCUUGACAUUGGGAAGCUAGUGCCUCCCGCCUUCAAAAUUGGGACUUCUGGAAAGGAUUACGCCAUGUGGGAGAAAAAGGAAUGA